UCACUGCGGAACACAGGCUCCGGACCCGCAGGCUCAGCGGCCAUGGCUCACGGGCCCAGCCGCUCCACGGCAUGUGGAAUCCUCCCGGACCGUGACACGAACCCGUGUCCCCCGCAUCGCGGGCGGACCCUCAACCACUGCGCCACCAGGGAAGCCCACAAGCUGCGUUUUUAAGCCUUUGCCUGUGCCUGUGCCCAGCGCCCUUCCCAGCGCCACCUGCAAGCUCUGAGUCAACACUUCCGAGUUCAUCUAGCUCGUCACCGGCCUCGUGAAGUCUUUCCUAUCUCCAGGAAGAGGCCUGCCUGUGGAUUGGCCCGGCCGUAAUUGUCAUUGUAACCAGCGCCGGCUUAUGGGAGGAUUUAACUGCAGUGAUAUAAGUGAACAACCUACACAACUGUACAUGCUGGCCCUACCCCCUGCCAGCAACAUCGUGGUCUGAAAUGCUACUGUUUAAGCAACUUACUGUCUGCACGUCUCCAAAGCCAUUAACGUUUUGGGCAGUGAAGCAAGGCAAGUCUCCAGAGGGGGCGAUGGACAGCAAGAAAGGAUGUUCCCAUCAUCACUAUCUACCGGGGUGCCCACGGAUCUCAGGCAUCAUGGCAGAUAGGCAGGACCUCAGCUGGAUGAACAGGAGAACACAUUAGUACAACCCAGGAGAGGACCAACCUGGGAAAAUCCUCCUUCCCUCAAGCUCUUCUCCAAGGACAGCAGAAGCUGAGAAGCACGCGGCAAGCUUGGUCAGCGUAUGAAGUUCCUUCAGCUGAGACGUUUUCUCUACUUUUCCUCAAGCCCCAGAGGUGUGUAAGUAGACAAAGAGGCCUAUGGUUCCAAAAUCAAGGGAAGAGGGGUCUGGUGCUGAGCUGGGGCUCUGCCGUCUGUUGUCAUGGUAGGAACAAUCAUUUGUUUGAGCCCUAGUCUGAGUAACCAGCCCAGGGUCAUGGGAUACUGGGCAGGUGGGCAGCCCACCAGGGGGCUUUGGUAGGAAGACAGGUGGUCCAUGGAUCUUGGCUAGCCAGGGCACAGACCCCUGCCUCCCACACCAAGGCUGCUGGGCUGGAAGGGAGAUUAGAGGGAGGUUGGUGGGUUCCCAGGCAGGGGCCCUGGGUCAGUUUCUACUCUGUACCCCCAGUCCCCCCCAUUGAGGCCUGCUCAGCACUGCCACUGCUGCAGUCACAUUUAAUGGCAUCUUUCAUUGCA